GGCUGGGAUUACAGAUGUGCACCACCACACCUGGCUCCGCUACAGCACCAAGGAGCAGACUUUGACAGGUGGCUGGUGGGACAAGCAAUGCCACACUGGUGGAGCCCGAGGCCCUCCUUCUGCCCCAUAUAUAGAUGUGAUGGUGACUGGCCCUCAGCGCACUGUGGACCCCUGCCUCAUGAGGAAAACAUCAGGCAAAUCCCAGAAGUGAUUUACAAAACAUCUGACCUAUGCUCCCAACUGUGAAGAUGAAACACACAAAGAAAGAGCCUGGGGAUACAUGUAUACAAUCUCUUUUAUCAGUAUCCAUCAGGACCAAUGUUUGAUGUUUGAGAAAUGUGAUGAAACUUUAAUAAAACACAUAGACCUAGCUGAGCUGUGA